UUUCCUUUUCCAUCUUGAGAUUUAGAAUUGUUUGGCUUUAUGAAGAUGAUGCUGAUAAAUCUAUGCAUAGUAUUAUGAAACGAAGUUAGUGAUCAUCGUAUUAGCUCUUGCCUGGUUUUGUGUGUCUUGAUUUUGUGUAUUGUAUCUAUUUCAUGACUGGGAUUGAGAACAUAGUUGAGUUGAGCUAGUGCUUUAUAGAAGCUAUGAAAGAGGAUAUGUCACAAAGAAGGCAUUUUAAUUU